AGGUGUUCAUCCGAUUUCUUUUAAUCAGUGCUAGCACGUAUAGCCAUCCAACAGAACUCAGUGCAAUUUCUUUUCAUAGUGUUGGUCCGAACCAACUGAUUGUUCUUUGACAUCAAGCGCACACCGUGACUCACCCCGCUGGCUCGACUCGCACACGCGUCAACUUAACUUUGCCACGUACUUCAUAGGACCCUCGCACUGCCCCCGACCCAGCCGCUUUUUCUUGUCGGUCGAGUCGUUCAUUCACCACCCACCAGCGAGAGGUAGCAAUAGCAAGCCCCGCUUCUUCUUCUCUUAUCCUCAAGAACUGAGGCCGCUGGUCCUCCUCAUCUACUCUCCAUCCACCUCACAUCACCACCCAUCUCUCCUCUUCCUAUCUAUCCAGCGCACCCCGCCCCCGCGAACUCGCCGCCCCGUGCUCCGGAUCCAGCCGAUCCCGCGCCGCUCAUCCUCGCGCGCCUCUGCUUGCGUUGACCGUGAGGAGGAGGUCAGCGUCUCGGCCAGCGGUGGCACACGGAUUCUCAUCCCGUACAUCCACGGAUACUCAUCUUGUUCUAUGCUUGUAGGCCAAUGUGAAGCCAGUCGCUGACACGCCGUUGCAGACCACCAGAUCCGGAGUGCCGCCGCUGGAUCCUGUCCGCGUCACGCCACGCCGUUGCAGACCACCAGAUACCCGCCGCUGGAUCCUGUCCGCAUCACGCCCGCGUCAACGGCGGCUGUCAGAACACCCUCUCCUUCUCGAGGACUCCGAUUCUCUUCGUUGCCUUCCCAUCAUGAUGGGUUAUUUCUUUUUUUGCCUUUGAUUCUCGUGAGAAUCUGAGGGACUCGCCCGCGGAUCUUUCUUCACUCCUCAUUGUUCUCUCUCAUGUAUUUGCAGUAUGUUUGUUGUUUUUUGAGAAGUCUGAUUAAUAUUACGGAUAAUCUGCAAUUGUAUAUAAACUAAUGAGAAUCAGUUUAGAGGAGCGAUGCGUGACAAAAAAAUCGAACGUAAACGCACGACCAGACAGAGUUUGUGUGCGUGAUGGCCGGGCUGAAACUCUGUUGAAGUGACCGCGAGUUGAAUAUCAAACAAUAUAGGGUCCUUUUUGUAAACCUAAAGCGUUUUUUAGAUAACAACUUGAAAAGGUAGUGCGGGUUAAUUUCUCAAAAACGGGAGGACUUUUCUACAAAACGGCCGGUGACGUACUACCAGAAGCAAUCGAUGGUUUAUUAGUAGGUAAAGAUAUAUAUAUAUAUAUAUAUAUAUAUAUAUAUAUAUAUACAUAUAAUCUAUAUCUAUACCUACUAUUAAAGCAAGGUGAUAUUCUUAGUUCCGUCCCGCGAUUGAUUUUUUUUCCUGGCAGUUUUACAAAAAAGCCCCUCGGUUUACAUAAAUCAACCCGCAGUCCCUGUUUUAGUGGCAAUUUAGAAAAAUGUUUUGUUUUUGCGUAAAAAACCCCUGCAUUUGUUAGAAAUUAUACCCGCAACCCUUAUCUCUUAUUGGACUGGCUCACCACCGCGCCUCUCACCGCUUAUCCUGCCGUUCUCCAUGAGCGGGCACGCGCCGCCGCUUGCCACCGGCGUCGUGGCGGGCGUCCGCGCCGAGGCGGACAGGAGACCCAAGUCAAAGGCUGGUCAUGGGGAAGGCCUCGGCGGGAAGACUCGAGGAGGUCUCGAGCGCGACAGGGAGCUGGCCGGAGCGCACGGACAGUGGGGGGGCUUCCGUCGUCCAGGCACAGGCUGGAUACGGCCCCGCGGCGCGAGUGUGCCGGCAGCAUGGGGAGGGGAGGGCUGGAGCACGGGCGCGCACGCAUGGGAGGAAAUAGUCGUCCCCUGGCGCGGGGUCAACGGCUUGGGAGCGCUGACCGCAUCGACCCAGGCGGCGCGGCUACAGAGUGAUGCAGGGCACGGCAGUGACGGGUCACGGCACCGCGGGCGGCGGACGGAGCGACAGAGAGAGGUGGGGCGCGGGCGAGCUUGUGCUCGUGCUCGAGCGCCUGAAGAAGAUGGCGCGGCGGCGGAGUUGAAGCGCCUUGGCGAGCUCGGGCUACACGGCUGCGAGUCGGGCUUGGCGAGGAUGCAGGCAGCACGGGACGUCGAUGCCGAGAACUUGGAGGCGGGGAGCCGGUUCCCAGCUUUGGGAGCGCGGGACGACGCGAAGAACAGCAUCGGGUGGCGGAGCACUGCCUCUACACUUGAAUAGAGAGAGAGAGGGGGAGAUAUUCAGAGAGGAUGGAGCAGAAUUGAAAGGGGAAGAAGAGUGAAGGUGAGGGCGACGGGCAGGCAACCUGCGGGGGGCUCCGAUGGCGCGGCCGAGCAUGUGCGAGGACGAGGCACACCUCCCGCUCGAAGAAGAUGCCACCCCAACAUCACCACGAAUCGUGGAGGAGAGGAGUAAUAGCGGGCGAAUCAUGGAGAAGAGGAGUCGCAGAGGGCGCCGGCGGCCGCGGAGGCCCUGCCCCAUCGGCGCUGCAUGGGGAAGGAGGGGGCAGAGAGAGCGAGGCGUGGUGGGGUGGUGGGUUGGCAGAUCGGAGAAAGCCUUGGGAAGGAGGACGCGACUGAAUCAGGUGGAGGCGAGGCUGCUGACCCACGGGACCGGCGACUGGGGCGAACGGCCAGAUCAAGCUUCUGGCUGGGUUGGA
rnacentral:rRNA from 1 species